UAAUAGAAUGCCUGAAAAAAGGGUUAUCUCGAUAAGAUAAAUAAUGCAAAAUUCUUGCUUCUAUUAA
rnacentral:tRNA from 1 species